rnacentral:rRNA from 1 species
AUUGAACGCUGGCGGCAUGCCUUACACAUGCAAGUCGAACGGCAGCAUGAUCUAGCUUGCUAGAUUGAUGGCGAGUGGCGAACGGGUGAGUAAUACAUCGGAACGUGCUCUGUAGUGGGGGAUAACUAGUCGAAAGAUUAGCUAAUACCGCAUACGACCUGAGGGUGAAAGUGGGGGACCGCAAGGCCUCAUGCUAUAGGAGCGGCCGAUGUCUGAUUAGCUAGUUGGUGAGGUAAAGGCUCACCAAGGCGACGAUCAGUAGCUGGUCUGAGAGGACGAUCAGCCACACUGGGACUGAGACACGGCCCAGACUCCUACGGGAGGCAGCAGUGGGGAAUUUUGGACAAUGGGCGAAAGCCUGAUCCAGCAAUGCCGCGUGUGUGAAGAAGGCCUUCGGGUUGUAAAGCACUUUUGUCCGGAAAGAAAUGGCUCUGGUUAAUACCUGGGGUCGAUGACGGUACCGGAAGAAUAAGGACCGGCUAACUACGU